rnacentral:rRNA from 1 species
UACAGAGGGUGCGAGCGUUAAUCGGAAUUACUGGGCGUAAAGCGUGCGCAGGCGGUUGUGCAAGACAGAUGUGAAAUCCCCGGGCUUAACCUGGGAACUGCAUUUGUGACUGCACGGCUAGAGUACGGCAGAGGGGGAUGGAAUUCCGCGUGUAGCAGUGAAAUGCGUAGAUAUGCGGAGGAACACCGAUGGCGAAGGCAGUCCCCUGGGCCUGUACUGACGCUCAUGCACGAAAGCGUGGGGAGCAAACAGG